AUCUAGCUGACGAGUCUGAAGUACGACGAAACGAGCGUCCUGGAC
rnacentral:hammerhead_ribozyme from 1 species